GCCUGGGUGGCUCAGUCGGUUGAGCGUCCGACUUCAGCUCAGGUCAUGAUCUCACAGUUUGUGGGUUCGAGCCCCGCAUCAAGCU
rnacentral:tRNA from 1 species